rnacentral:rRNA from 1 species
AUUGAACGCUGGCGGCAGGCCUAACACAUGCAAGUCGAAUGGUAACAGGAAACAGCUUGCUGUUUCGCUGACGAGUAGCGGACGGGUGAGUAAUGUCUGGGAAACUGCCUGAUGGAGGGGAUUACUACUGGAAACGGUAGCCAAUAACCCAUAAACUCGCAAGACCAAAGGGGGGGUGCCUCGGGCCCUCUGCCCACCACUGGUGCCAGAUGGGAUUAGCUAGUAGGUGGGGUAAGGGCUCACCUAGGCGACGAUCCCUAGCUGGUCUGAGAGGAUGACCAGCCACACUGGGACUGAGACACGGUCAAGACUCCUAAGGGAGGCAGCAGUGGGGAAUAUUGCACAAUGGGCGCAAGCCUGAUGCAGCCAUGCCGCGUGUAUGAAGAAGGCCUUCGGGUUGUAAAGUACUUUCAGCGGGGAGGAAGGGAGUAAAGUUAAUACCUUUGCUCAUUGACGUUACCCGCAGAAGAAGCACCGGCUAACUCCGUG